rnacentral:rRNA from 1 species
GUCAGCUCGUGCCGUGAGGUGUCGGGUUAAGUCCCAUAACGAGCGCAACCCUUACCGUUAGUUACCAUCAGGUUAAGCUGGGGACUCUAGCGGGACUGCCACCGCAAGGUGAGAGGAAGUGGGGAUGACGUCAAAUCAGCACGGCCCUUAUGUCCAGGGCUACACACGUGUUACAAUGGCCAGUACAAAGGGCAGCUACCGGGUGACCGGAUGCUAAUCUCUAAAGCUGGUCUCAGUUCGGAUCGAAGUCUGCAACCCGACUUCGUGAAGCUGGAUUCGCUAGUAAUCGCGCAUCAGCCAUGGCGCGGUGAAUACGUUCCCGGGCCUU